UACGUAGGGGGCAAGCGUUGUCCGGAAUCAUUGGGCGUAAGGAGCGUGUAGGCGGCCUGAUAAGUCGGCUGUGAAAGUCAAGGGCUCAACCCUUGAAUGCCGGCCGAUACUGUCAGGCUAGAGUCCGGAAGAGGCGAGUGGAAUUCCUGGUGUAGCGGUGAAAUGCGCAGAUAUCAGGAGGAACACCUGCGGCGAAGGCGGGCUGCUGGGCCGACACUGACGCUGAGGCGCGAAAGCUAGGGGAGCGAACGGG
rnacentral:rRNA from 1 species